AGCCGCGUCUCCGCUCGCGAGACGUCAGGCCGCCGCCCGGGUCCGCGGGACCCCGGCCCAGCUCGGGCGGGGCCGCCUCCGCACCACGGCCCGGCGACAAGACGACAGAAGGCGGGAACGUAUGAAAGAAGACCUGAGAGUUUUAGAAAAUAAAGGAAACAAAAUGUUAAGGAAUCAGCUACAAAACGGAGAGAAGAAAAGGAAGGCUUGUUUCCGCCCGGUUUCGAACCGGGGACCUUUCGCGUGUGAGGCGAACGUGAUAACCACUACACUACGGAAACACGACGGCGGGAGGCUCCCUGAGAGAGCAGUUCUCCCUGCAGAACACGCCGCCCGGCCUGCCCGAUUCCUGCAAACGAGCGUCGUUUGUGUGCGCAUGCGUCCGUGCCCCCGUCUUGUUCGCACCACACGAGACCGUGAAGAGCGCAGGCCAAAGCCUCCCAGUGUACAGACUUGAAAACAAAUCCCUAACAGUUUAUUCUGGAAAUGCCCAGGUUGGGAGAAAACAAGAGAGAGGCUUCAGUGCUCACGAGUGACCUUUCUCGGUUGCUUCUCAAUCGGAAUAGGCGCGCCCCGGGACCGUGCACAGGCCUCGGGCUGCUCAGCGCCACCCCGUGGCCGAGACGCGGAACUUGCUGUGCAGGGGCGUGAGGACCCCCCCCCCAGCUGGGGUAAAUGGGGCGCUCUUUGGCCCCGGAGAACCUGCAAGGCAGAUGUCGCCGUGCCCGAGUUUUCGGGCUCCACGGCGUGCCGCGGUGCUCUGCCAGGGAGAGGCAAAAUAGCACGACCCGCCUCGAGCCAGCCAGGAGUCGAACCUGGAAUCUUCUGAUCCGUAGUCAGACGCGUUAUCCAUUGCGCCACUGGCCCGCACGGAGGCGUUUGCCGCCGCGGAUACUUUCGUGAGGACGCAGGCGCCGGCGGGUCCAGGCGAGGCGCGCUCGCGCCCGGGCCGCGCUCCCCGCCGCCCCGCUGGGCUCCCGGCCGGUCACCUGCAGCCGGCUGCUCGCUCCGUGGCGUCCGUGCUCCCCUCCGCGGCGUCUUCUCCGCCCGCGACACCUCGCCAUCCACGCGUUCGCCCCGCAACCAGGGUUACCGUCGGAGGCGCUGGAAGUGGAGCCCUGAAGAAAAGCGAUGUGGUCCCUUGUCCAUCGACAAGAUGACAGGGAAGCACUACAUAAGGAGAAUAAUCAUGAUGAGCGUUUGGAGGAAAACAACAAGACCGGGAAGACCAGGAAGGCCCGGCGGAGACGGUGAUUAACGAGAGAGAAACGCGGGUAUCAGGGAAAAGAGCCUGGAGGGGCGAGAGCGCGCACAGACCCCCCGCUUGCGGGGACCGUGGAUGUGAUCUGUUGGGACUUGGAGGUCGUGGUGGGGUGGCGUGAUCUGGCGUGCUCUCUUGUCUCUCCUUCGGUCGUUAAAAAAUGUGUUUCAGUACUUACCAAGCAAGGCUCUGUGCUAAGCACCUGCUUGCCUGCGCGCCUCCCGCUGGGCCUGCGACUCCCAAUUUGACACCUUUGAAAGGGGCGUCGUCAGCUCGCACGCGUGACUGCGCGGUGUUUGCUUUCUCAGGAAGCGAGUAAGCAUCUCCCAGGUGUGCGUUUCAGUCUCCAGAAUUCUUGAGAAGUAAUCGUCGUCCCCAUGCCUGGGUGAGCAUCGCGGAGAGGUUGACGGCUGUUAACCGAGUGAAACUGCCUGACAUUGAGAACAUAUCCACUGAGUGUAGAAAAUAGUCGUUUUCAGUUCAUAAGGUUGCAUCGGCCCUUAAGAAUAAUACAGGUGUCCCUGCUCUUUCUGCAUAACCUUAUAGUAGACCGAGUUAGGAAUCUCCCCCUGGACAAUGGAACAGGAGACCUCUGGCCAGGUUUUCUACUUGUGUGCCUAGGGCACUUUGCUGGUUAUGGACUGCCUCACAGAAUAAUCGUUUCGGCUAGAAAGAAAAAAAGAUAAGUACGUACGAUUUCAAAGGGAAAUCAAUUACAUUGAAAUAGGUUACCAAAAUAUUAAAAACGUAUGCUGUGGCAAUAUUUUUGCUCCUCUAUUAAUGCACUAACAAUGUACAGCAGGUCUAAUCAAUACCGUAAUUUCAAAGCACUAAUGAGCAUCCAGGAUAUUUAAAGAAAUUUGUAACAACUGUAGUUUGAUGUGAAAUACUUGUGAUCUCCAAAAAUGACAACAUAAAAAGGGCUGAGAUACAACAGUACUUUGUUGCCAACACUCAAGAUGGAAUAAAACACAAAGUUUCAGUAUCAAGUUCGUCAAGAUAAAUAUUUAUUUUCCCAUCCGAGUUCACAGACUGUCGCCUCCCUAUAAGAAGCAAAAGGAGAUUUCUGUUCUCAAGAGCAGUUUGGAAACAUGAGCACUCACGCUUGAAUUUUGAGAAAUGAAGCACACUGGGGUACUUCUCGGUUCUAGUUUACCCUCAUCGCAUACCCAGGAUGGGCAGGCAGGCCAGACCCCAAGGGGUCCCUGGAGCCGCGGGUCGCGUCUUGCACCUCUAAAAUGGGCUUCAACUCAGCUAGCUGGAGGCCCCGUCCACAUGUUCUCUCCUCGGUGUCUGCAGAGACCUCCCUUCGUUGGGCAGGUUUUGAAAGCUUCAGCGGCCUCCAAGUUCUCCGCGAUGCUCACAACCUGACAUGAGCCGAGGCAUGCUUUCACUUUGUUUUUGGAGAGCUUUCUAGGGGUCACCUUUUCUGAGAGUUCCAGUUUCUAGCAUUCAGUCUUUUCUUCAGUGGUUGUAUCAGUCAGAGAAACAGAGUCCAGAAAAAAAAAAAAAAAAAAAAACCAACAGAACUAGUAAGAGAAUAUGAAUGAAUGAAUGAAUGAACGAACGAAUGAAUGAAUGACUAUUUCAAAGCCUGGCAAGUCUGAAAUCUGCCGAGCAGGCCUGUAGUUUAGAAAAUCUCAGGCAGGAGCUGAUGCUACAGUCUUAAGACAGAAUUUCUUCUUCCUCCGGGAAGCCUCCAUUUUGCUUUUAAAUAAAGCCUUUCACCUGGUUGGAAAUAAUAAUUCAUGGGAAAUAAUCAUUGGUUCGGCUGGCUGGCUCACCCGUAUUACUGAGGAUCUUACAGUCAACUCAUUGUAACCACGUUAACCCACGAAGAUAUUUACAAAGUAUCUUUACAGCAACAUCCAGAUUAGUGUUCAGUUGAAUAACUGGGUACUGUACAGCCUAGCCAAGUUCCCACAUCAAGCUAACCAUCGCAAUGCACUGUUCUUCCGGUUUCUCUCUCAAGCAUGUGGACCAUGGCACUCUCUGCCCCUCCCGUGUUUCUUUACAUUAUUGUCAGCAGUCUGUGACACAGAGAUCCCCACCUUCUCCAGUUUCAGAUGCGAGGAACAGAGCCAAGUGUGAGAGGCCCUUCCACGGGCUCUGCCGGCCACACUGGGGAUUGCGUAGAGGAGAGAAUUCGCACCCAGAGUUCUGGAAGCAAUUGUUCUAAGUCUCAGUUUUCCCCCCACGAUUUGUCUGCGGCUUGUUAAACAGCCGCUUUGACUUAGCAGCAUUUCACUGCAGAUUUUGACCGCUGGUGACCAACCAAAGGAAAAACCCCGACCAAAUACUCACCGCUCUGCUGUCUCUCUGAUAAUCUGCCACAGUUUGGUCAAAGCCAUAGUAGCCAAUACUAGAGGAAACUAAGGAAAGCAGAAGGCAAAAUCACCAAGUUGAAACUACAAGCAACAUCAUAGUCUCUGGUCACCCGAUCCUCUUUCCUGGGGGAAUUCCAAACCAAUGCACUCUUACAAUCAGCGGGCAAUAUUUGCAGAAAGCGCAGCCUCCGGAAUGAUUGCUACAUGUGCAGCAUCUCAAUUCACAGCAGCCGCUAAAAUCCAACCACAUCACGCAAGCCGCAAAUAACUGAUCUAACGGGUGGUGUUGUGCUCUGACUUUUUCGGAAAGGAGCAUCAAACUCAAACUAUUUGUCACCGGUGAUUUCAGAAAAGAAGGCGUCAGGAAGAAGCAACUGUCUGUACGUCACAGAGUGGAUGGAUAGCCCGCUGGGACAGGCGGACUUGAAAAUGGCAGCCCCAGGCUGACUCCAAGCCGUCCAGGAAGAGCCAAGGCGCAGACUCUCAGGCUGAGUCAUGGUGUAGACGUCAGCACUAGAACACUACUUCACCCUGCUCCUGAAUUUCACUUGACCUUCACCCCCUGCUCCAUCAGGGUCCAGGAACACCUUUACCGGGAUGCUUCCAGCCCAGAGGCCCUUGACAGAGUGCAUGAUCUGUACCACUGAGGUAAUGGUGCUGGCUUUUGGAGCUCUAGAAUAUUCCAGGUGAGGACUCUAACCAUCUCUCCCCAAAAGCUUGAAAGCCUUUCUACCUCUCCAUAUAUGGACCAUGAAAGUGAUUUAUGUGUACAAGUGGAAAUGAUUUACAAUCCAAUGUUUGUUUAGCCCCCCGGUGCCUACUUGUCCAGAGCCAGUUCUAUGGCAAGCGCCAUGCCAAUCGCACGUGGGUCAUGAAUGGUGCUGUAAAAAGCCUGGGGGGGAGGGUGCGGGGUGCGGCAGACAGUUCAAUGGCAGUUGCAGGGUAGUGGCGGGUGAUAACACUGGGAGUGGGGGCCCUGGGGGCCGCAGUUCACUAGCCCAGACUGGUGGAGGAAAGAGGUGGGGGAAGACUUCACGAAGAAGUGACGCCCAUACUGCGCAUGGAGGAGAUGUAGAGAGGGGGCUGGACAGAAGGCGUGGAAAAGAUGCUCCUGGCAAAGGGGACCGUGGGUGGCUACAGGUGAAGAUCCGAGGAAGCAAUGGCGGGUGGGAGGAGAGGGGUGGACUGCGUGGUUGUGUGUGCAGAUCCUGAAACUCUCAUAAAGACCACAGAUGGACUUGACCUGACCGUAAGUCAUCAAAUGCUUCAUGGGAUAAAUUUGUUUGCUUGCUUGCUU